AUGUACUCAUAAUGCAUCAAAUUGUUAAAAAUACGUCUGAAUUAGUUUGCCCUAGCAUUUGCAAAAUUACUUAAAAAUGGUGAUUUUCGUAAUUUGGUGAAAAAUUAUAGUCCCGUAGCUAUGAUGUUUUUCUAUAGUCGCAAAUAGUAGAACAACAUCUAAAAAGAUGCAUUGAGGGCUGCGAAGAAGAAUUGAAUUUGAACGCUCACAUUUUAAAUAAAAUAAUUAAUCAUGGA